GACGAACGCUGGCGGCGUGCUUAACACAUGCAAGUCGAACGGAAAGGCCCUGCUUUUGUGGGGUGCUCGAGUGGCGAACGGGUGAGUAACACGUGAGUAACCUGCCCUUGACUUUGGGAUAACUUCAGGAAACUGGGGCUAAUACCGGAUAGGAGCUCCUGCUGCAUGGUGGGGAUUGGAAAGUUUCGGCGGUUGGGGAUGGACUCGCGGCUUAUCAGCUUGUUGGUGGGGUAGUGGCUUACCAAGGCUUUGACGGGUAGCCGGCCUGAGAGGGUGACCGGCCACAUUGGGACUGAGAUACAGCCCAGACUCCUACGGGAGGCAGCAGUGGGGAAUAUUGCACAAUGGGCGGAAGCCUGAUGCAGCAACGCCGCGUGCGGGAUGACGGCCUUCGGGUUGUAAACCGCUUUCGCCUGUGACGAAGCGUGAGUGACGGUAAUGGGUAAAGAAGCACCGGCUAACUACGUG
rnacentral:rRNA from 1 species